UACGUAGGGGGCAAGCGUUGUCCGGAAUCAUUGGGCGUAAAGAGCGCGUAGGCGGCCCUGUAAGUCCGCUGUGAAAGUCAAGGGCUCAACCCUUGAAUGCCGGUGGAUACUGCAGGGCUAGAGUCCGGAAGAGGCGAGUGGAAUCCUGGUGUAGCGGUGAAAUGCGCAGAUAAUCAGGAGGAACACCGGUGGCGAAGGCAGGUCUCUGGGCC
rnacentral:rRNA from 1 species